rnacentral:lncRNA from 13 species
GAAGAGUGGACUGUCAGGGUCAGCAAGGGUGUGGGAAGGAAGACACAUUUCCCCUGUGCUCAAGAGGGGAGUCAGCAGAGAGAACAGGCACUGGCUCAUAGACACGGUAGGGUUUGCAUCAGCUGAGCCCCUGGUCUGGGGAGCAGAGAGAAAUACAGACACAUCAGCAGAUGCCUACGUGGGCAGAUACCACUCACAAGGAUUGGAGGGGGGCUCAUAAAUAACAUCCCUGUCCAGAAAUAAUUGAGAGAGAGAGAAGUUGGGCUGUCUUAAAUCCAAGCACCAUCUGUAUAGGAGAAAAGUGAGAUGGGAGGAUGUGGCUGAAUUCAGUGGAAACCGUGGACCUACUAACAGGGUCUUGCUGUGUCACCGAGCCUGGAGUGCAGUGGUGGAAUCACAACUCACUGCACCCUCAACCUUUUUGAGCUCACGCCAUCCUCCUAUCCCAGCCUUCCGAGUAGCUUGGACUACAGGCAUGCACCACCACACCUGGCUGUCUGGUAAGUUUUUAUUGGAUGCUGGAUAUUGUGAUUUUUAUGCAGUUGCUUGCUGGAGUUGUUGUAUUCCUUCAAAUAGUGUUGAAUUUUGUUUUGGCAUGGAGUUAAAUGCUUUGGAAUCUACUCAGUCCUUUGGGGCUUGCUUUUAAAUUUUGUUGGGUCUGGUCCAGGGAAGCCUUUAUUCUAGGUCCAAUUUGCCCCCACUAUUAUGUCCAUGCAUUUCUAAGGAUUUUCCUCAUUAUCACAUGUAUUAAAUGCUCUUCCACUCUGGCUAGUGGGAACACAAACAUAUCCAGCACUGUGUAAGCCGUGGGAUAUGCUCUGAGUGCUCCUUUCUGAUGAUUCUUUCUCCAGUCCCAGUACUUUCCCCUCAAGUAUGUGUACACCAGUAAUCAGCCAGGCCCAGGAUGCUUUCUGGGUAGGCUUGGGCUUCCUCCCCAUAAUUCCAGCAGCCCUGCCCUCACUGGAUCCUCUGCUCCGUCUCCUCACCUCAGGGAGACCUCCUGACUCUAUGUGGGCUUCCCCUCCCUGUGCCACCUAGAACAUUUUCUAGGCACCACCACAACUGGGCUGUCUGCUAUGUUUUUAUUGGAUGCUGGAUAUUGUGAUUUUUAUGCUGUUGCUUGCUGGAUUUUGU